CCUACGGGGGGCAGCAGUGGGGGAUAUUGCACAAUGGGGGGAACCCUGAUGCAGCGACGCCGCGUGGGUGAAGGAGUGCUUCGGCAUGUAAAGCCCUAUCGGCAGGGAAGAAGCAAGACGGUACCUGACUAAGAAGCCCCGGCUAACUACGUGCCAGCAGCCGGGGUAAUACGGAGGGUGCGAGCGGUGUCCGGAUGCACUGGGGGUAAAGUGAGCGUAGUCGGCCAAGCAAGCCAGGGGUGAAAGCCCAGGGCGCAACGCGGGGUGUGCCCGUGGAACUGCAAGGCUGGAGGGGGGGAGGGGCGGGCGGAAUUCCAGGUGUAGCGGUGAAAUGCGUAGAUAGCAGGAGGAACACCGGCGGAGAAGGCGGCCUGCUGGACCAGGACUGACGUUGAGGCUCGAAAGCGUGGGGAGCGAACAGGAUUAGAUACCCGUGUAGUC
rnacentral:rRNA from 1 species